rnacentral:rRNA from 1 species
UACGUAGGUGGCAAGCGUUAUCCGGAAUUAUUGGGCGUAAAGCGCGCGCAGGCGGUUUCUUAAGUCUGAUGUGAAAGCCCACGGCUCAACCGUGGAGGGUCAUUGGAAACUGGGGAACUUGAGUGCAGAAGAGAAAAGCGGAAUUCCACGUGUAGCGGUGAAAUGCGUAGAGAUGUGGAGGAACACCAGUGGCGAAGGCGGCUUUUUGGUCUGUAACUGACGCUGAGGAGCGAAAGCGUGGGGAG